rnacentral:lncRNA from 1 species
AUCGCACAAGCCAUACUGUUGCGCAUGUUGGCACCAGAGCUACGUCUAGAUCGCACAAGCGAAGAUGGAAUUUCUCCAUCUUCAGUGGUGUCCUCGAUCGGUCAGGGCCCUUCGUCUCUCAGGUGUGACCACGGGCAUCCACAAGUCUUGCCGGGCUGGGCGUCAUACACCGCAGCCUUUUCUGCCUUGACGAAUCAACAGUAUCAGGUGCAAUCCCAGCGCACCGUGCAUCGCACCGGCCCAGACCAGCAAGCGCUGACUCUUACCUCUGAUAAUCACAUGCGGAGCCCAGGAGCUUGCAGCUCGCCCGCAGCCUACGCUGAAACCAGCCAGUUACAUCCAAAUUAUGAACCUUUCCAAGAACGUCCUCUUAAGAGAUUGUGCAGGCAAGCCAACGACCAGCCGCAUGGCGGGCCUCCACAGCCCGCGGCGGGCGUUCCGCUUCAGCCAUACAUGCAGCUUGCGCAGCUGCUUCAGCUUUCGCGCCAUCCAGCGCCCAACCUUCAUGUUCCAGCAUUAGCUCAGUCCGCUGAUGCCGCUCUCCUACCAAGCGCCACCUUGUCGGCGGCCUCCCAGCAGCCGGCCUCGCCUGCGCCGCCUCUUGUGGCGGAUCCUCCCGAUGCAGCUCCCCGGCCACAGCUGCGGCUGAUACGGCCACAAGCCCCACAUGACAUCACUGAGUGCGCAGGGCAGCAGUUGCCGUCACCGAGCCGCUCCGCAGCCUUUCAUGCGAACCCCGCGCCCGGUGACCUCAGCGCCGACAAUGAAGUCAGCGCAGCGGCAGCGCUGCUGAUUCAGAUGCGCCACCAGAGCAUCAAUCUACCGUACGUCGAUGCUGGCGAAGAAGUCUUAUGUCUCUCUACGGGCCCUGCGGGAAGCGGCGGCGGCGACAGCGGCGACGGUGCGGCAGAGGCCGCGUCAGAGGCCCGUGGAGGUCGCGGAGGAGGCGGAGGCGGUUCGGAGGAGGCGCCGCUGGAGGACAUGGAGGUCGUCGAGCUGCCUGUGGACGUGAGCUCAAUGGUAGAUGUUGGUGGUGGCGUCUACGUGACGCCGUCUACUGCGGGACCAGGCAUUUCCUUCCGCUCCCUCAGCGGCCGUCAACAGGUGAGUCCGGUAAGGAGUGUGGAAAGGAGGAAAGGAGGUCGAGGUGUGGAGGUCGAGCUUGGGGUGGUGCCUCGUCACCUUUGGUGGUGGAUGGUCCGCCCUGAUGGGUGGUUGAGGACGAAGAGGUAAGAGGAAGGACUGGAAAAGCAACUAACUGAGGAGGAGAUGGAGAAGAACCGGGACUGCGUGUCUUGACUGCGGUCGAUGGAGGGGCCAACUUACGGCGGUGAUGUAUACGUAAAUAUGAUGGGGGCUCCGGAACCACCAACGAACCGCCUCGGACAUUCGGUGUGCGAACCAGCACGAAGCCGUCUGAUGCCGUCUGCCGUACCGCCGCCCGCAGGACGGCUUCGGUGUUCUGGCCUUCGACAACGUUCCCCGCCGGCCUCGCUCGCAGGUCGGCCGGCAGCCGCCGGAGCCGACAGCAGCCCAUUUGAAGCGCCUCAGUGCUCUGGCCACACAGCCGAGGGCUUCCGCAGUUGCGGCGGCGGCGGUGCCGGCGCUGUUGCCCGGGACGUUUGGGGGCGGCCAGCUGCCGUUCGGCGCGGCGGCCGCUGGCCAGCAGCUGCUCGGGUUGGCGGACCCGUUGUCGGCGGCUGUUGCCGCUGCGCUGGCGGUCACCGACCCGGCGGCGGCGGCAGCGUGGAUGGCUGGCGGCCGCCUGGCUCCUGCGUUGGCUUCCGUACUCGCAACGCAUCUGGCACCGCGUAUACCUGGGGCGCACAUAGCGUCUGGUGCCGCCGCCGCUGCAGUCGGAUUAUCAGGGCCAAAUAGCUCCAGGGGCGCGGCGCCAGGAGGCGGUACAGGCGCAAGGCAGCGGCAACCGCUGCCGGCGGCCGAGCACGACGACACGAGUAUCAACAGCGAGAGCAGUGCUGAGGACUCCCGACACUUUCGCUCCCGUGGGGCCACACGCACGCCCACACCGCAGCUCAGCGCGGGCACGCUGCCCCUGGGGUCUCAGCCACACCAGCAGCAGCUUAAAGCUUCGCAGCUCUUGUCGUCAUUGCAGCAGCAGCAGCACCACCACCAGCAACAACAGUCGAGACCAGCGACGGGGCGGUCCGCAGGCGCCUCCCGCAGGAAAACGCGCCCCGCCUCCGAUCGCCAGCGGCCAGGAUCAGCCGGUUCCGACCCUAGCUUCGAGGUGCGCGGCCGGGAUGGCGACAAUGGCGGCGGCGGCGGCGGUGCUGCCGACGCGCCCCCCCCUGGCGCCUCCGCCGCAUCAUGGCAGCCGCCUCCUCGGCCUCCUCGGAAUCACAAGGGCCCGCUGCUGUGCGCCAACUGCGGUACCACACAGACGCCGUUGUGGAGGAAGGACCGGGUCACUGGCGACACGGUGUGCAACGCAUGCGGCAUUUACAAGCAAACGCACGGCUUUGACCGGCCCGUCGGCGGACGGCAGCCGGCGCCACAGCAGGCCUCCGGCAAACGUCACGCAGCAUUACGCACGGUGCCCACUUUAGCUCCGACGGCUGGGGGAGCAGCAGCUGGCAGCGGCGUCGGCGGGGCCUCGUCGCGUGGCGCUCCUCGCUCGCCAUCGCCGCAACCGUCGCGCUCGCCAUCGCGGGUGAGCGCACCAUGUCCGCCGCCUCAGCCGCCACCUACAGCACCUUCCACCGGCGCCACACUCGGGGAUGGUAGUCUCCCGGAAUUAGUGAAAACAGACGAGGAGGACGUGGCGUCAGCAAGCCAGCAGCCGCUGCGCGUCGCCGCAGCCGCUGCGGCUGUAGCAGCAGCGGCUGUAGCAGCCGCAUCGGCAGCGGCCGCGACGCCUGCGUGGUCUGCACAGGGCGGUCCCGGCGGCGCCGCCGCCGGGCCGUGUCGCGGCAAGCAGAUACGGCUGUCACUGCAGCGCGAUAUUGCGGCGUCGGACGGCUUGGAACCGGAGCCCGAGUCUGAGGCACUUCUGGCAUCGUUAUGCGAGCGGGAAGCGCCGGCAAAGGCCAGGGAUGACGGCUUAGGCGUCGGCGUUGGCGGAGGGCCCAGUAACAAUUGCAUGCGCCGUUCCAUACCAUUGCCUUGCCGUACAGCCUCAGGGGGAAACGGCGACCCUGACGGCGGAAUCGCCGUUUCGCCGCUGCGGCUGGACGUUGCCGCCGCCGCGGGCGCUGCCGCUUCGUCUGGCAUGAUGCGUGUGUACGAGGCCCGGACCCCGGAGACAGCCGCCCCGUCAGACGAAGGCGCUCUUGCGCCACAGCAGCCCCAGCUCCUGCGCGGCAGUUCUCUCCGUGAUUGGCUGCCGUACGGCGUGUACCAGCCCGCGGCGGCAGCUGUACCGCCGCCGCCGCCGCCGCUGCCUUCGCAGUCACUUAAGCGGCAGCGUGAGGACUGGGAGGUGCAACCGGCGCUGUCCCCGCAGGUCCCAACGGAAAGUGGGGAGAGCCGCGGGGCGCUCCAAGAGGGGUCACGUGUGCCGUCUAACGGUGCCCGGCUGCAGCAGCAGCAACAGCGGCCGGCAGGCUCAAGCUACAGCGCAGAGCAGCUGUCUGAUACUGGCGGCGAAGGCAGCGAUGUCGCCGGCGCGGCAGCAGCGGCAGCGGCGGCGGCGGCGGCGCUUAGAACUCGUGGGGCCGUGGACGCCUGGGAGGACCAAACACGCUGCCUUGAGGGAGAAGGAGAGGGCGGGACGUCAAUGGCUGGCGUGUUGCCAGCGGCUCUGCCGCCGCCGAGACCACCGGUGCCGCCGCCGCCGGCGUCGCCGCUGUUGCUGCUCCUGCCACCCAAGGUGAAGACCGAAGGGCCCGAAGGGAGAGAAAGGGACCUUGCGGCUGCCGACGGAGGGGGCGAUGCGGCUGCGGCGGGCCCAUCAAUGCCGUACUCUGAGCCGGAGGAGGUACCAGAGCAGGGUGUAUGCGAGGCUGCACGCCCGCCAUCACAGCAGCAGCAGCAGCCGAAGCAGCAACCGCAACCGAAGCAGCGCGCAGUGACGGCGCCGCGGUCGGGCUUUACGGCGAUGUCCGUAGCGUCAGAUGACUUGACGACGUUUGGAGACCUUGUGAGGCUGCGGCCCAGGGCGACUCCGGAGCUUCGCAGCGACGAGGUGACAGAAUGGGAGCAAUCAAGGCAGAGGGAGGUUCGGCAGCUGCGGGAGCGACAGACGGGUCAUUGGGAGGAUCACCACCACUACCAUCACCACCACUGGCAGGGGGAGUAUUCGGCCAGGGCGCCUGGAGUGCACGUGCCGGGCCCGAUGGCGCAGUGGCCACAGAAAGACGAAGCCGAUGCGCGGCCGGCGGCAGCGGCGGCAGCUGCCGUACAAUACUCUGCAACCGUCAGGCGUCCUGCUUUGCCGCCAGGCAACCUGGUGUGUGUCCGGCUGCCAAAUGGCCGACUGGCGUACCUGCAGGCUAUGGCGCCGCCACCGCAGCCACCGCCGCGGCAGCUGCUGGCGUACGGCAGCCGUGCGGUCGUUGAAAUGUCCGCUGGGGGGUUUCCUCUUCGCCAAGAAGUGUCGGGGGUGUCGCGGGGAUGGGACAGGUGGCAGGAGCAGCCGCACGGCGGUGAGGAGUCCGACCAAGAGCAUAGAGUUAGCGGUGGUGGCGAGAACAGCGACAGCGGCGCGAGAUGGGGUUACGGUACCCAGCAGCAGCAAUCGCAGCAAUGGCAACAGCAGCAGCGCCGCUCUAGACGGGAUAGUGAGUCUGCGUGGACGGCGGCGGCAGCAGCAACGGGUACGAGAAUGCCGUACCGGCCGGCGCGCCAUGAGGAAGACGAGAAUGAUUAUGGCGACGCCGCGGCAGUCGGCCGUUCCACGGCCGCAGCAGCGGGUACGACAUCGGCGGCGGCGACUUCCUUGGCAGCAGCCACGAGCGCGGCUCGGGUCCCAAGGAAGCUGGUGUUGAGCGCCGAUGCCGACGGGACGGCAGGGACCGGAUCCGUCUACAUCACCGGCCAGGAUGCCGAUCAGCAAUCACAACACAGCGACCACAGUGACAACGGCGGCUGGGGCCGCCGCCGUGGCGGCGGCGACAGCAGUGGCUGCCCGGAAGGCGAUCUGGAACAAGCAGUGGGAAGUUCCAGAGCUUUGUGCACGACGGUACGGCAAGAGGGUGUACCGGAGGGUGGCAGCGGCCCGGGAUCUGGCCCUUCGCGGUGUCCCCCCCCGGCCGCUUCAGAGAGGGGCUCGCUGGGGUCGUUGGGUGUCCCGCCACAUCCCCUCAGGCCAAGACUGCCACCACCCACAGCCGUCACCACAACAUCCUCUCAGGCACAGCUGCAGCAGCAGCAACAAGAACAUUCCGAGCCGGGGCGGCAGAUCGUGACGGCAGCGGCGGCAGCAGCGGUAGAGAACCUCGCCUUACGGCAGUACGUCGAGCUGUACGAGCAAGCGACGGCUGACCCGCAAGAAGAGCUCAUGGCAUGGCAGCGGCGGCGCCAACAGCGGGCAGCGGCGGUGGUCACUGCCGCUGCCACAGCAGCGCAAGGCAUCCUGUCGUACCGGCCGCCAGCGGAUGGCGAGCUUUCGAAGUACGAUCUGUAUGGCGACACGACGUCCGCAGAUGGAGGCGGCAGCGGUAGCUUUUCGCGGCCGUCACCCAGCCCCGCCGCGACACAGCCCGACUUUGACGGUGCGGCGCGGCGCAGCUACACCGGAACGAUAGUCGACAGGGACUCGUACGGCCACCGGCCCCGAAACCACUCGCACCAUCAACUGCCUAUCGAGCCAACCAACCGCCAGCGUGGUUUGGAGCGCCCCGAGGUCCUGGACGCCGAGUUAGGGCCCAUGUACGGCCGCGGGGAGUUGGCAGUGGACGAGCAUCCCGGGCUGUUGUACGGCGGAAUGCUGCCGCCAGUCCAGGCUUCCUACGUGGGCAUGCGCGGUGGAACUGACCCUCGUCCGGCGUCACCGUUGCUGCCGCCAUCGCAGUCCGAGGGACACCCGAACUCGCACGCCCACCUGGUUUCCCACCCGCACCCACACCUCCGCCACCACACACACCCGCACCCGGCGGGGGUGUUCCUGCCAGGUCCUCCUUUCGUCGUUGCUCGUCGGGGGCCUUACCCGCAGCAGCACGCGGCGGCGUUGCCGCCGCGACCCCUGGGUCAUUCGGCUGCACAGCUUGCAGAUGGACCUGACGGGCCCCGGCAGCAGCAGCAGCAGCAGCCACCGUCCAGCAGUGGUGGCCUCCAAGCGGCUGCAAAGCACUACCUUUCAGCGCCGGCAGGGCCCAGAAGGUCCUCGGGGACGGUGGUGGAGGGCGGGCGCAGCGGGGCAGCGGCGGUGACGUCCGAAGCGGCGGCGACUCAGCCACCAUAGAGCUUCUGAUUGGGCCUAGGUGCGUCGAAGCUUGACCUCCUGAAGAGCGGUUGAAGGGAGAUCAGGACGCAGCCGAAGAGGGAGGGGAGGUGCCGUGUGCACGAAACUGUCGGUGUCUGAGAGGGUAGCAGUCGGGACGGGCGUAGUACCAUUGUGCUCCGGAGCCGAAAGCUGGCGAGAUGAGGAGGAAGAGUGGAGGGGGAAGAAGAGGAGGAGGUACUGAGGAGGGAGAGGGUUGUUGCGUGCGGAAACCCUUUCGAGGAGAUGGUACGGAGGACGGAGAUGAGCAGCUACAGCCGGGUAAGCUGUGGUGUGGUGUGGUGUCAUGCGGCACACGGACAGCGGAGGACUGGAGACAGAGAGAGAGAGAGAGAGAGAGAGAGGGGUGGUGGUGGUUAGCAGGGAGACGCGCGCGUGCACCAGUGCACGUGCAUAUGCUGCAUGCAUGCAUGCAUGUGAGAGCAGAGCGGCCCUGGAAGUGUGAUUCAGUGUGUUCGUGUGCAUUUGGUGCGCGCUUUAAGUAUGUUGGUUGUGUGAUCGUGUGUUUGUGAGGGGUUUCCCUUGUUUGCUGCUGCUUUUCAGAGGAUGUGUGCGUUACAUUUAUCUGGCCUAACGCGUGGCUCCGUUGUGUGUUUAGGUUGGCUAUCAGGUCAGUCUGGGCGAUGAAUCCUACUGAGAGGGAGAUCGUGUGUGUUUUUCUCAUGUACGACAUGGAAUCCAGAGGGAACGCCACACACUCCAGGAUGUGUGUGACAGCGGCCCAAACCGCUGCAGGUGGUUGCCGUAUUUGGGUGCUGACCGCCAGAUUUAGCGUAGACCUAGACCUAGACAUAGAGUUACAACCAGACAUAGGGGAAGAAGGAGUAUGUUGGGGACGUCACGGCAUGUUUCGCACUAGGCAGGUUGUUUUGGCUUGAUGUGCAGAGAGGGCUUGAUGCCCUGGUUGGUGCCGUUGGUGCCUCACGAUUGCUGUCCGACCUGGCGCCCAGGUGGCUGCCUAGCCGCCCACCUAGCCGCCCAUCGGAAGGUGACGCAAGUGAGGAAAAGCCGAGAGAUGCAGGGAGCGCAGUGCGGCUUGUGGAGGGGCGUCUGAGGGGGAGGGGAUAACUAGAAGCAACCAGUUUUGCGUGUCGUCCCGAGUCUUGGGCCCCCACGGCCCAAGUAUGUAUGUAUGUUGUUACAGGGUGGUUAACUUCGCCAGCGGCCCCCUUUCCCGGGGCAGUCCCUGCUCUCCCCUGCUAGAGGGGCACCCUAAUCCGUCACCCCAUCCGACUUCAGAAUGUAUUCGUUGGGUUCGGCAACUCACCACCAGCAUCCAACCAAAUCUAGCGGAUCAACGGCGCAUCAACUUAGUUCCUGGUCAGCUCGCAAGUUGAUAUUAUCACGUCCUACACCGUCCAUAUGAUGGGGGGCCACCUCCCAUUUCAUCACUCCUCAAACACCCGAGGAGCUGGCAGGCGGAUUUGAACCCGGGUCGACUGGAUCGACUGGGAGCAGAAGUCAGGCCUUAACUUCUGCCAGCCGCCUGCCUUAUGUAUGUAUGUCGCGAGAGGAAGGAGGAACACAUUGUUUCGAUGUUGUUCUGUUGCCGUUGUUCUGUUUGUUGUGAUAUUCGGCAUUAUUGCUGCAUUGCAUCAUGUCUUCAGCAGCAUCACCAUCAUACAGAACGAGAUUAGUAUUUUUAUGUUCUGCUGCAACAUGUGUUGGUUUGUCUGUCUGUGUAUCUGUGAACGUACUUUGUGCCCAGCGGCGGCGGUGGUAAUUGUGCUGAUUGAUUGGCGGUGGCUAUGUCGAAGAGAUGCGGUGGAGGGCACUACGGCCUUUUUCAUGUAGUAGCAUCAGCUUAACAAGCAUUGCCCGUGUGGAAAAAAAGAGGGGGGGAGAGAGAGAGCCAGUCGGAGUUUUGGGAGUUGUGUGUGUGGUGGCGUCCUCCCCUCCCCUGCAGCCCUCCCCUCCUCCCUAGAAUUGGGCGGCGGCAUCGGACGUGUGGAGGAGUUUCUGCGGGUGCGAGGAGAGAUGGAAGAGGAGGACAGGAGAAUAAAUGGGUGGUGUAGGAUGCUCUCCUGCGGAAUACAUCUCGCAUUUCGGCCCCCUCCCUCCCCCCCUCACUCCUUCCAGGCUCCGUUGUACAGUGUACAGCAUUGUGCAUGGCGGACGGGCGGGUACUGCUCAAAACCACACCGUCACGUCGCGCACAAAAGCGCACAUGCACACGCACAUGCACAUGCAAAAACAGACAAACAGCUCACUCACACAGGUUACUGUGUCUUUGCGGGAUGAGUGAGGCAGGUCGCAAAUUUGUUUUUCCCAGUCCGUUCCGAGGCUGGCAGGGGAAGGGUCAGGUCGCCGCCUCUGGUAUUUUCAUGUUGCUAUUUUGUGGCUCGGAGGGCCACUCCGGUUUGCAGCAUUUGACAAGGCAUUGAGAACCUUUUGACUCAUGCCCAGCCAUUUCCUUGGGCGCUUUGUGUGCGGGUUCAUUUCCGUUUAGGAGUACGGCUCUAUGGCGCGCACGUGACGCGGCACGGUGUGGCGGCGGCGAGAGUGCUGACACAGACAUGACAACAGGUGUGUGUGUGCGUAUAUAUAGAAAUGCACAAAGCGACAUGACGACUUCUGACCUCAUCAAGUCCGGAGAAAAACGAUUUUUUUAAUUAAUCAUCGUUGGCUCAUUGUAUGUAUGCAUGUAUGUAUGCAUGCAUGUAUGUAUGUAUGUAUGUAUGACUGUAUGUGUACAGAACGAGCAGGGUGAAGGACUCCCUCGCGUAUGGAGGAUCGACAGCACACGACUGUACAGAAAGAUUGAUCCAGCAGUCUCACUGGCAGGGAUUAGCUUCACCGAUGAUGCAAAAUGAUGACAUUUUUAAUCAUCUCUUAUGCGCUGUGUUUGUGCACUUGGCGCAUGAUGAUCAUGAUGAUGAUGAUGACAAUGCUGCUUAUUACCAUGUCCAAAUGAUAGACUUAGGAGUAGUGAUGGUGGUAAUGAUGAUGAUGAUGACGACACAUUUUGGCAUUUUGACUUGAACAUGACGCGGCGGCGUGGGGAAACCGAAUGGCGGGUAUCCACGCCCACAUUGUGUAUGUGUGUAUGCGUGUCAUCCACAUCGCAAUCGAUCGCUUUCAUUCAACCGUGAAUGCCAUUGUUUGUGGGUCUCUUCGUUAGGUGGGCUUGAGAAACGGAUGACUGCCCCCGGCUGAGGUGUGUUGUUGUUGGGGGGGGGAUAUGUUGGCCUUCUCCCCGUUGCGAGGUGGAAUAAUCUUGAGACUGCAUGACGCACAGCACCUCCCGACCACUGACGACCGAUGUCCCGGUUCAGUGUGCACCAGUAUGCGUCGGAGCUUCAAGGCUGCUACAUGUGUAGGGGUUUUAGGAGCUGCAAGGCUGCCAUGCGUUGUGAAGGUGCCUACGUAGUGUCACCAUCUAUGUGGAGGACAGCAUGAGGCGAGGCACAUAGCGCCAGGCACACAGCCGCCAACCACUCGGUCCAUUAUUUCGCCCAGUAGGGGCCAUGGGACUAUGGACACCUGCGAUGGCCUAAUGCGAAAGAGAACGCUAAGGGGAGGGGAGAUGUGUGUGCUUGUGUGUGGCGUUCCCUAGCGCACAUAUCAGCAGGAAGCCCUCCCACUGGAGUUGCUUGAACACGAGUUGGAUUAGUCGUUUUCGUUGUAAUUUAGAACCUGAAUCAUGUCUUCAUGGUGAAGUUGAGGACAUUUACCUUCUGUGUGACGAGACAUUUUCUGAAGGUUCUGGGUGGUGUUGAAAUGAUAACCCCUGUGAAAACAUCCGGGGUGCAGAAAGAUAGCACUGACACUGUAUUGUAUACAACAGCUGUAACACGGUUCACAAUCUGUGCGGGCUGAGGGCGAAAGGAGUCUGACAUGGCUGACAAGCUUGGUGCGGGCUUCAGCGCUCUUCAAUAGGCAACUACCACCGGAAAAUAGAUCCCUUGCAACGCCCCCGUGUGCACACCGCCAUACUGAAGUUUGAAGACUGAAGUGGAGAAAGGUUCCAUGUGAACAGCAAUUGGACAUGGGUUAGCCCCGCCGGCCGGACCGGGUACGACAGCCUUUGCGACCGGCCACUGGACCGGAACCGGACCCGCAGAAUUUGGACCGAAAAGGUGCUGCUCGACGCUCCCAAUCAUGUCCUAGUGAUAAAGUAUGACCAUAGCCAGCGUUUUGAGCGGUCAGGCCGACGCGCGCGACCGGUCUUCGCGAAUGUUUGGGUUGGAGACACACACACAUGUACGCGCACAUGAAAAAUGAAAUAAGAAAAGUAUUAUUUUCUGUUUCCUUUAAAUUGAAGUUGGAAGUGGAACACCCUCACAGUCCGUAACACCUAAGACCUCAAGUAACAGUGAAGUUCGAUGAAAUUUUGGUAAUGAUAACACCUAAGACCUGAAAGCAUGAUGAAAACGAUGGAGUUCUGCCUGCGGGGCAUGCCGGUCUGAUGCGGGUGGCUUCAGCGCCGACGCCGACAGGGCAUGGAAGUCUGUUGUGGGCAGCUGCAGCGCCGACGGUGUGGGCUACUCGCGAACGGGUCUAGCGUGCGAUAUAGGAUUCUAAGAGAUGAGGCAUACCUGAGCGCGAUUCCCCUUGCGCUGCCCAUCGAAAGGGAAAAGGGAUAGGGCGGCUCCUGCUGGAUUGCUUUCUGGCAGCUUCGUUAAGCAAGGUUUUCUUCUAUCCUUCGUCUCGGGGAAAUUGUGAAAUGGGAAGGUCCUGUUUCAUUAAUGAUAGUUUGGCCCCGUCAAGCUAGGCGAUAUGUAUAUGGGCUGGGCGACUGGAUGAACAAACUUUCCUAACAUCCAUGUUGAAAUUUGAAACAACAAAUGUUACAAUUUCACAAGUUGCAACAU